AAACCUAAAUCUUUCGUUCACGCACGCCUCCACUGCUCCCUCUUCGUUCCCUCUAUCUACCAAAACCUUCGUUCCCUCUACCCAAUGGUCGAGACGUUGGUAUCCUCUCCUUAGCGGUCGAGCCCGUCAUUCUUUCCUCUCGGCGCACUCGCUAGCGAUUCUUCCUCUCCGGCAAUGGCAGACGAGAACGGGAAGCAAACUGAGACGGAGAGCAGGCCGUGGCAUCAAACGGUAACCCUCUUACUCGUAUCACUAAGGUUGGCAGCUCUUGUGGCCACCUCCACGGCUGCAGGGCUCAUGGCAUUCAACAAGGAGACAAAAACAAUCACAGUGGUCGUGGUAGGGACCAACCCCAUUCUCCAGUCUUUCACUGCGGCAUUUCAGCAAACACCUGCCUUUGUGUAAGCUUCCUUCUCUAGCGUCGAUAUUUGAGAUCCAUUACGAUUUAGCAUUUUGACAUUUGGCUUCGUCACAAAUACUUCGUGCUUGCCAAUGCCAUUGCGAGCCUGUAUAACCUACUGGCGAAGCUGCUCCGGCCAUGCUUGAAGAACAUAGGACGUCAAGUUUUAGUGCAUCUUUUGCAGCUCCGGUCGGGCCCUCUCAAAUUAUGGGCCCAGGGCCGUCGCCCAGUGCCGCCCUCCUCCAGGGCCGGCCCUGUCCUUCCUCUCGGCGCUCUCGCUGCGCAUUGUCCCCUCCGCCAAGGGUUCAAUCCGCCUAGGGUCCAAUCCCUCAAUGGGUCUUAGCAACUCGCCAACCUCAAUCUACAAAAGCUCUAGAACUUAAAGGCUCGAGGAAUCCUGUUGUUUGGCUUGAAACUUCUUCAGACUCCAUCCUAACAGCAAGGUAUUCUCUACUGAAACAAACUACAGAAACACAAACUUGUCUAUUAGUAUCAUAGAUUGUUGAUAUUAUACUUGAUUGAAUCUCUAUUUAGUACCAGAAAUAUCAAUGUCUUGGUUACUUUAGGAUGACUAAUUCCAAUUUUCAUCAAGUAUUUCUCAAUGAGUCAACGUUGCAAUCUCUGCUAAUAAUAGUAUGUAAAUUCUAUCAUCAUUGGUUCUAUAUCCAUAUUUGUUCCUAUUGAAUAAAUGAAAAAUUUAUUCCAAAGUAGGGAGGAUGAAUCAAAUAAAUUAACCUAUUUUGCUAAAUUAGAACCAAAGUCAAUUGCUUGUUUUACUUGAACCUAAUUUUCUUUGGCACUGAACUAUAAAAUCGAUUUUGUUGGAAUCUAUAUAUGAGUUCACUAAGGAAAUAAAUUUUAAAACCCAUUUACCUUGUAGAGAAAGAAAAUAAACAUAUGCUAAUUUAUGUUCCGACAAUUGAACCUAAUAUUGUUUUUUAUUACUUUUCAUCUCAUGUCGAAUUCCUUGUGAUCAGAGACGCAAAAGAGGAGUGUGAAAGUUCAUUCAUGGAAGGCAAAACCCUCUUUAUUGACUCCAACAUCCCUAUUUAUUAUUAUCUUCAGUGCAUCCCUUGAAGAUGCUAAAGAUAGGAGAAAGCCUUGAUCACUAUCCUCUUCUCCUAGAGUCGCCAUUCUCGUGCAGAUGGAAAUUAUAUCAUUUAAGCUCCAAGUUCUACUAGCUGAGUUUUUUCUAUGUGUGAUGACCUUCUUGUUUUGUUCUUAAUUGCAAGAUUUUUUUUUGUAAGUUUACUAAAUUGAUUGAGGAGUUGAUUAAGUUCGUUAAUUGUAUACAUAUCCACGCUUACUCAAUAAAAUUGUACUUGGCAUUAUUCAAAGUGUUAUUUGUCUAAA